UACAGAGGGGGCAAGCGUUGUUCGGAAUUACUGGGCGUAAAGGGCGCGUAGGCGGCCUCUUAAGUCGAACGUGAAAUCCCCGGGCUCAACCCGGGAACUGCGUCCGAUACUGGGAGGCUUGAAUCCGGGAGAGGGAUGCGGAAUUCCAGGUGUAGCGGUGAAAUGCAUAGAUAUCUGGAGGAACACCGGUGGCGAAGGCGGCAUCCUGGACCGGCAUUGACGCUGAGGCGCGAAAGCCAGGGGAGCAAACGGG
rnacentral:rRNA from 1 species